rnacentral:rRNA from 1 species
ACGCAUUAAGUAAUCCACCUGAGUAGUACGGUCGCAAGACUGAAACUCAAAGGAAUUGACGGGCACCCGCACAAGCGGUGGAGCAUGCUGUUUAAUUCGAAGAUACGCGAAGAACCUUACCUAGACUUGACAUCCCCGGCAAAGCUAUAGAAAUAUAGUGGAGGUUACCCGGGUGACAGGUGGUGCAUGGUUGUCGUCAGCUCGUGUCGUGAGAUGUUCGGUUAAGUCCGAUAACGAGCGCAACCCUUAUCUUUAGUUGCUAACAUUUAGUUGAGAACUCUAAAGAUACUGCCGGUGACAAACCGGAGGAAGGUGGGGAUGACGUCAAAUCAUCAUGCCCCUUACGUCUAGGGCAACAGGCGUGCUACAAUGGCUGGUACAAAGAGAAGCAAUACCGUGAGGCGGAGCAAAUCUAUAAAACCAGUCCCA